AAGCAAGCCGGGUAGCACUGACAGGUAAACCAAGUAGCACUGACAGCGACAGAGUUAACUACACGAGGUAGGAUGGGACGCAGUUAGAUCGGUGGCCGAUAGGUGGCUCUGCGUUGCCACCGUGACGUCACGAGCAGCCCGCAUCGAUUUUGUAAACAGAAGGGAAGCCAGGUCGUGGAAUGGUCGCUGUGGUACGAGGGUCUGUGUCCCGUGCUCGUGUGGCGCAGUGCUUCCACCAUGACGUGAUGUGAGCGUUACUUUCUUCCUCAAGAUAAUACUGCCAGACCCUGUGUUGUGAAACCCUUGAUCGUGUCGGGAGAAGAGAAGGAGGGAGAAGUCACCCCGGGCCAUGAAACUGGGUGAGGGAGACAGCGGUGUGGGGACCCGGGCUUCCCCCUCCUCGCUCGUGCCGCACCAUCUCUCCCGCAUCUUUGUUGACCGCAGGCUGUGGUGAACACGUCUUCCGCCGCACCCACCUCCCGCCAUGGAGGGUGUAUGCUGAGGGGCUGGCCCCAGGAGGACACACCACGCCGAAGAGGCCCAGAGUGAGUGGCGUGACAAGCUAGACUACCCAAGCCGCCCAGUGCCGCGGGCUGCUGCUGCUCCACACUUACCCACGUUCCAUGAUACAUUCUGGUCGAUUGUUAGCAAGUGUCUUGAUAGGUCGCGCAAACGUGUUGGAGGAGCGAAUGUGUAGUACGUAUGUGUGUGUGUACAGCCCAGAGUGAUGCCUUAGUGCCGUGCCGGGUCCGAGUGGAACAGUUAACCAAGUGCCAUACCUGUAUCAGUCAUAACAGCAGUCAUCACCCUAAGUUUCUAGUCAGAGCCACAGCGGUGAGUGAGUAGCCCUCCGCUCUAGUGUCUUCAGGGAGGCGGCGUGUUUGUCGGGCCUGCAUCACUGCUUGAACGGCGUGGCAGCGUGUCUUCUGACCUGACAGCUGACAACAACGAUAUAUCAGUGCAGUUUUACCUGUAAAUUAAGUAGGAAUACUUUGAAGCCUUCGAGUAGGAAAGUAGCAACAAGGGAGCCGUGCAGUCAACAACAUGAGGAUGGCCAUGCUGCCAACGGUGGUGUGGGCAGUGGUGGUGGCCUGGCUGGCCCUGGCCGCCCACGCUGCCUGGCACGACAACGUCCUGCCCAAGAGAGCCGUCAAACUAGGUAAGCAGAGACGCGUCCCCACCUGAAGAAGUCUAGGCCAGGAUGUUUAGAAGCGUGGCGCGGCGUGCGUAGGCUGCAACGCACACGCCAGGGACACCAGACAUCUCCCAGGCCUCCCCCAUUGCGUAGUGGAGAAUGGAGAGUGACGCGCCUCGCCACCACCACCACCACCACCAGGCCGGAGUCGUGAGUCACUAGGAGGAGGGGGGCUGAGGACGAGAUGGGGGGAGGUGGCUGUGGCGUGUGGUCUCAGCCUGUAGUUAAGCCACGAGGAACCAACCGGUCAUGUGAGAGAGAGAGAGAGAGAGAGAGAGAGAGAGAGAGAGAGAGAGAGAGAGAGAGAGAGAGAGAGAGAGAGAGAGAGUACUUUUUUCAUUUAUGUGUAAAGCACCGAGAAUGUAUUAAUUUAUUUUUAAUGAGGUAAUUAAGCUUUAUCUGAACAACGGGCUUUGUGAAUCUACCAAAGUUUGAAACCAGAUAAGAGUAAAUUGUUGUUGAUUCUUUGUAAGCAGUGUUUGCUUUUAAUUAUUUUAAGUGGCGAAGUAGUCAUUAAUCUUGCUACUUAUUAUCCAACUUUGUGCUGCGGAAAGAAAAAUAGAAUAAAGAAAAAAGAAAAAAAAUCCGUAAACCUUGCGGAAUGUUGUUUUUCUUAAUGGUAGUGGUGUUUGUUUAUUUAUUCAUUUAUUUAUUUAUUUUAUCUAUUUACUUAUAUAUUUACCACGUGGAAUGGCUAACGUCUGCUGAGGUACAUGGUAGUUAGUUAGGUCAGGUCAGGUCAGGUCACAAAUACCUUCCCUGACAUUCACUCAUGGACCUCAUCACUAUCUCCACCAAAAUGACAAACGAACAUUGAUAAACAGAAAAUAAAACAAAACAAAACAGACAAAUGUGAAAAGAGUAAGAAGCAAAAGAUAUGAAACAUUAAAACCAGAGAGUUUCUAGCGAGCAGGGAUGGCAGCUGUAAAGAGGGAGGUUUUCAUAAUCCUUGUUCCUCCUUCCCUCCUUCCCUCCUUCCCUCCCACCGCCACUUGCGCUAAGCCUCUGUGUGUGUGUGUGUGUGUGUGUGUGUGUGUGUGUGUGUGUGUGUGUGUGUGUGUGUGUGUGUGUGUGUGUGCUGUACUCUUUAUGUAACGCUCUUGUUUCUAUAGUCUUCAAUGUUAUAGUCGAGGCUUUUUUCUACUACUACUACUACUACUACUACUACUACUACUACUACUACUACUACUACUACUACUACUACUACUACUACUACUACUACUACUACUACUACUACUAGCUUCCGGUCUAGUUAAGAACCUCCCCUGCGUAUCUGUAUGAACAGUAGUAGUAGCUGACAUCAUAUCACUUGCACUAUAAUCUCAAAUGCCCUUGUUUUUCAUCCCUCAACCGUAAUUCUCCACUUCACCGCCUCCACUUCACCUCUUCCACUCCUCUGCACCACACACGCCCCUUCUCCACGCACCUCCACGCUCCACCUACCACCCACUGCACACGUCAGUCCCGCAGCCCCUCCACCAAGCAGCUCCCUCAUCACCAGUCUCUCCCACGUGAUCUGCCUCCACCUUCUGUCCACGCUCUAGCAACUCUCUCUCUCUCUCUCUCUCUGUCUCUCUCUCUCUCUCUCUCUCUCUCUCUCUCUCUCUCUCUCUCUCUAUCAAAAGUACAAAAUUCAUCAAAAUACAUGAUUUGAGUGGCAUUAUUUGUUAUUCCUCCCUAAACAGUACUAAAAAAAAAACCUAUUUGUACAUGAUCUGCACACACACACACACACACACACACACACACAGGGCAGUGAUCUCUCCAGGUAGGUUGGCACGCUAUUGGUUCUUUGCAGCAGAGGACUUUGUAAAGACUGGGACAGCAAAACUGGCUUCUUGGAGGGGGGCAGGAGUGGUGGUACGUAUGGGAAGGUAAACCAGCUUCGUCCUGAGGGUUUCAAUGAGGUUCUAAUGAUGAAACAGGGAUGACAAGUAGGAGGAGGAGGAGGAAACACUGAAACAUUCGAAACAUACCUUAACCAAGUAAGUUAUAAAUAAAUAUUAAUAAAUUCAGGAAUCCAGGAAGGUUAUCUGAAGUUAAAUGCUUCUUGGCCAACAGUGGAACUCAUUUUGUUGACAUUAAUUCUACAUGUACGUAGUAAUAAUUAUGUACUAGGAGGAGAAAGAAGAAGAAAAAGAAGAAGAAGAAGGAAAGGAGAGGUGGAAGGGAUGCAUCGAAAACAUUUAACUAAACGAACACGGAUAAAAACGGAAUCAGGUGAAUUAUACGUAGAAGGAAGAAGAAGGAAGAGAGGAGAGGAGACAGGGGAGAUUUAAAAAAAAAAGUAAAUGAAGAGGACAAGAAAGAACGGAAGGAAGAGUAAAAGAAAAAAAAAGUGAGAGGAAAAAAAAAACAUGGAAACCGGAGGAAGGAAUGUGAGACAAGAAAAGAAAAAGUAAAAAAAAAAAGGAGAAAAGAAGCAAAGAAGAGGAAAUGAGUUGAGGGAGGGAAACGAAUAGAUUACACAUGAAAAAGGAAAUAGGAAAGAAGAGGAAACCGAAGAAGAAGAAGAGUAGGAGGAGGAGGAAAGGUUAAAUUUUGCUGAGGAAGGGGUAAGAGGAGGAGAGGAAGAAGAGGAAGAGGAAGAGUAGCUGACACGUAGGCGAAAGCUGACACGAGGGAGGAGCGGUGGGCGUGACUGAGGGCUGCCGGGGGAAAUUGGACUACAGGUUAUUGCCGUAGGGGGAGCCACAAGGAAGGGAGACUCACGUGGGGGGAAGGAGGGGAGGAGGAGGAGGAGAAGGAGCUGCCACAAAAGGGAUGAGGUUAGGUUAGGGGGAUUACAAUGGCGAACCACCGAAAGAAAAAAAUGGGAAGUCAUAAGAGGGGGAGUUGCAAAGGGGAUGUAAAGGGAGGAGUCGUAAGGUUGCUAAGGGAGGUUGAGGUGACCAGAAAUUGAGGGUGUAAGCUCCCCACCAAAAAAAAAAAAAAGAGAGAGGGGAGAGGAAAAAAAAUAUAACGAGAAAGUGAAGGGGGAAAAAUGUAUGAAAUGUAUGUGUAUGUAUGUAGCCUUAAACGUAUCAUUAUCGUGCCUUAGCAAUUUUAACCCUUUUGCUUCUAUGAUUGUCCUUCCUUAACCUUCCUAGCACUGAAGAAGCCGUUUACAUGGAGACACAGGAGAGGAAAGACAGAAGGUAAUUUUGUCUCUCUAACCUACAAAAAAUAUUCACGUGAGCCUAGCACAAAAAUAGUCAAAAAAAGUUAUAGGCAAUAAUGAAGAAAAUUUGUUAAUAGUGGAAGUUAUGCGGGUCUUCAAGAGUGUCGCCGUGGUUGCAGUGAUGAUAAACCAGUAUUCCUUAUCAUCAGUAGAAGGAGACUGUUGUAUUCUUAAACGUCUUUGAGCUACGUACUCUUAACUUGCUCUAGUGAAAAUUACUGGAGUUUUCAAGGUCAUUUCCAUGAUUCUAUUGAUAAGUUAACAAAUAUUCUAUAGCAACAAGAGAGGGAACAGCCAUGAGAACCGCUCUAAUCAUCUCUGUGGCCUUUGAAAAAUAGUUAUGAUGAAAGGCUAAAGAGCUUGAGAGUACAAGCCGCGGCCACUAGGGGGUGAGUGGAGGGAGGAGGAGACACAGUAGGGGUGAGGGCGCGUGUAUUGGGGACGGAGAGAGAGAGGAGGGGGACAGGCAGCAGGUGGUCGGAAAAGGAAGCAGCCCUCAUACACCCGACACUCAGGGUAUACAAGAGGGAAGGCUGCCGAUGCUACUACUGCUACUACUGUUACUGCUGCUGCUACUACUACUGCUACUGCUACUGCUGCUACUACUACUACUACUACUACUACUACUACUACUACUACUACUACUACUACUACUACUACUACUACUACUACUACUACAACACCUCCAUCACUUCCUCCACUACUACUUCCACUACUACUACUACUACUACUACUACUACUACUACUACUACUACUACUACUACUACCUAUACACUGUUUUUAACAUUGCUCCUUUUACUCAAACACAAACAACCGUAUUUCUCAUGGGGAUCACCACCACCAUCACCUCCACCGCCGUCGCCGCCGCCGCCGCCGCUACCGCCACUGCCAGCGACACCACCACCACCAUCACCACCACCACUCAGUCCCGUGUUGCCGCUGUUAACAAGCUGACGUAAGCUUUUGAAUCACCCCGUAAUAAGCGUUUCUAGGGCUUAUCCCUCGCGUUGAUCUUGUUUACUAAAUGGUUACAAGCCUCCCAUUCUCUCUCCCUUCCUCCCUCCCUUCGUCCCUCCCUCCGUCCCUCCCUCCCACUCUCUCUUUCCUUCCCACCCUCUCCCUUCCUCUUAACAGUUCCUUUUGUCGUUUUCAAAGUCUACAUACCUCCCUCUCACUCUCCCUUCCUUCCUUCCUCCCUUUCCUCCUGCCUUCCCUUUUCACCCCCUCCUCUCCACUC